rfam:Schistocephalus solidus strain NST_G2 genome assembly, scaffold: SSLN_scaffold0007439
GGCCUCGUAGCUCAGUUGGCGAGAGCGUUGGCUGUACUAAAGCCUUCCCCUUACUGGCGUAGGUUCGAAUCCCACCGAGGCCG